CGCGGUGUUCCCUGGAUUGCAGUCCAAUCUUGCCUCUGUCUCUACGUGACGUUAUCCCCAUGUAUCCUCAUAUCCUCUUCCUUCUGUGCCAGUUUAUAUGUCUAAAUUUUCCAUUUUUAUGAGAACAACAGUUAUAUUAGAUUAGGGUAUACUCUAAUGACCCUACUUUAACUUGAUUACUUUUUUAAAGACAUUAUUUCCAAGUAAGAUCAGACUGUGAGUACUGAGGGAUAGGACUUGAACAUAUCUUUUUUUGGGGGGACACAACUGAACCCAGAACAUAGGCAUAGUUGACCUGAGCAAAGGGAGGUUAUCUGGGUGUGCCUAAAUGUAAUCACAUGAGCCUUUAAGAGCAGAGAACUUUCUCUGCUUGGUGGCCGAAGUUAGAGAGAUUCAGAGAGUGAGUGGGGUUUGAUGUGCUAUUGCUGGCUUGAAGAUGGAGAGGGCCAUGAAUCAAGGAAUGUAGAUUCCUUCUGGGAUCUGAGGGUAGGUUCUGAUUGCAGCCAGUAAGGAAAGAGACCUCAGACUGAGAGCUUCAGGGAAGUGAGAGUUCUGCCAACAACCUGAGUGGUUUUGAAAGUGAAUUCUUCCUCUGAGUCUUCAGAUAAAAGUCCAGUCAACUUGAUUUUCACUCCAUGAGAGAACGAAGUCUACCUGGACUUCUGACCUACAGAACCGUGAGAUAAAUGGAUGUAAUUUUCAGUUGCUAAGUUUAUGGUAAUCUUUAUAUAGCAGUAAAAAAUAUAAAGUAAGGUACAGAGUGUUAUACAUUCCUUUCUAGAGUUCCUAAGAGAGCCACACUGGGAUCCAGAACCAUUCUUAAAUGACAUUUAGUUUCUCCCACCUUAAAAGAGCUGUCGAUACAAUCAAAUUUUGGGAACAGAUUAUGACUAACAGUGAAAAUGGAUCCUGGAAUCUGCUGGUUGCUGAGGGACAAUUCAAGAACCUUCUGUACUGUUAAUUGGUACCUGAAACCACUGUUGAGCCCUGCUGAGGGUUGCUUCCUAAGAGUGCCAGAGUAAACAUCAAUGGGGCUAUCACUGGAAAAAUGGAGACUGUUUUAAUUGAAAACUUCUAAUCUUCUAUAUGAUUGCUCCUGGCAUAGGGGAUCGCCACAAAUUAGAUGUAAGGAUCUACAUAAUUAAAGAGAAGAAUCAUUUUGUUUACUAAUUAUAAGGUGAUUGAUGGCCAGAGUUAAGCUUGAAGACCUUGGCAUUACUAGUACUUCCAGAAACCAUGAGACUCUCGGAGAUGGCCUAAUACCAACUGAAACACCAUAAGCUAGUCAUGGAGACUAGUGGUAGAAAUUAAGCCAGGGAGAGGCAAGUAUU